UGGGGAAUCUUGGACAAUGGGGGCAACCCUGAUCCAGCCAUGCCGCGUGAGUGAUGAAGGCCUUAGGGUCGUAAAGCUCUUUCGCCUGUGAAGAUAAUGACGGUAGCAGGUAAAGAAACCCCGGCUAACUCCGUGCCAGCAGCCGCGGUAAUACGGAGGGGGUUAGCGUUGUUCGGAAUUACUGGGCGUAAAGCGCACGUAGGCGGACCAGAAAGUUGGGGGUGAAAUCCCGGGGGCUCAACCCCGGAACUGCCUCCAAAACUAUUGGUCUAGAGUUCGAGAGAGGUGAGUGGAAUUCCAAGUGUAGAGGUGAAAUUCGUAGAUAUUUGGAGGAACACCAGUGGCGAAGGCGGCUCACUGGCUCGAUACUGACGCUGAGGUGCGAAAAGUGUGGGGAGCAAAACAGGAUUAGAUACCCCUGGUAGUCCACACCGUAAAACGAUGAAUGCCAGUCGUCGGGUAGCAUGCUAUUCGGUGACACACCUAACGGAUUAAGCAUUCCGCCUGGGGAGUACGGUCGC
rnacentral:rRNA from 1 species